rnacentral:rRNA from 1 species
GCACUGUUUCGGCUAGGGGGCCAUCCCGGCUUACCAACCCGAUGCAAACUGCGAAUACCGGAGAAUGUUAUCACGGGAGACACACGGCGGGUGCUAACGUCCGUCGUGAAGAGGGAAACAACCCAGACCGCCAGCUAAGGUCCCAAAGUCAUGGUUAAGUGGGAAACGAUGUGGGAAGGCCCAGACAGCCAGGAUGUUGGCUUAGAAGCAGCCAUCAUUUAAAGAAAGCGUAAUAGCUCACUGGUCGAGUCGGCCUGCGCGGAAGAUGUAACGGGGCUAAACCAUGCACCGAAGCUGCGGCAGCGACACUGUGUGUUGUUGGGUAGGGGAGCGUUCUGUAAGCCUGUGAAGGUGUGUCGUGAGGCAUGCUGGAGGUAUCAGAAGUGCGAAUGCUGACAUAAGUAACGAUAAAGCGGGUGAAAAGCCCGCUCGCCGGAAGACCAAGGGUUCCUGUCCAACGUUAAUCGGGGCAGGGUGAGUCGACCCCUAAGGCGAGGCCGAAAGGCGUAGUCGAUGGGAAACGGGUUAAUAUUCCCGUACUUGGUGUUACUGCGAAGGGGGGACGGAGAAGGCUAUGUUGGCCGGGCGACGGUUGUCCCGGUUUAAGCGUGUAGGUGUGUGUUCCAGGUAAAUCCGGUUCACUUUAACACUGAGGCGUGACGACGAGGCACUACGGUGCUGAAGCAACAAAUGCCCUGCUUCCAGGAAAAGCCUCUAAGCAUCAGGUAACAUCAAAUCGUACCCCAAACCGACACAGGUGGUCAGGUAGAGAAUACCAAGGCGCUUGAGAGAACUCGGGUGAAGGAACUAGGCAAAAUGGUGCCGUAACUUCGGGAGAAGGCACGCUGACACGUAGGUGAAGUGAUUUACUCAUGGAGCUGAAGUCAGUCGAAGAUACCAGCUGGCUGCAACUGUUUAUUAAAAACACAGCACUGUGCAAACACGAAAGUGGACGUAUACGGUGUGACGCCUGCCCGGUGCCGGAAGGUUAAUUGAUGGGGUCAGCGCAAGCGAAGCUCCUGAUCGAAGCCCCGGUAAACGGCGGCCGUAACUAUAACGGUCCUAAGGUAGCGAAAUUCCUUGUCGGGUAAGUUCCGACCUGCACGAAUGGCGUAAUGAUGGCCAGGCUGUCUCCACCCGAGACUCAGUGAAAUUGAACUCGCUGUGAAGAUGCAGUGUACCCGCGGCAAGACGGAAAGACCCCGUGAACCUUUACUAUAGCUUGACACUGAACAUUGAGCCUUGAUGUGUAGGAUAGGUGGGAGGCUUUGAAGUGUGGACGCCAGUCUGCAUGGAGCCGACCUUGAAAUACCACCCUUUAAUGUUUGAUGUUCUAACGUGGACCCGUUACCCGGGUUGCGGACAGUGUCUGGUGGGUAGUUUGACUGGGGCGGUCUCCUCCUAAAGAGUAACGGAGGAGCACGAAGGUUGGCUAAUCCUGGUCGGACAUCAGGAGGUUAGUGCAAUGGCAUAAGCCAGCUUGACUGCGAGCGUGACGGCGCGAGCAGGUGCGAAAGCAGGUCAUAGUGAUCCGGUGGUUCUGAAUGGAAGGGCCAUCGCUCAACGGAUAAAAGGUACUCCGGGGAUAACAGGCUGAUACCGCCCAAGAGUUCAUAUCGACGGCGGUGUUUGGCACCUCGAUGUCGGCUCAUCACAUCCUGGGGCUGAAGUAGGUCCCAAGGGUAUGGCUGUUCGCCAUUUAAAGUGGUACGCGAGCUGGGUUUAGAACGUCGUGAGACAGUUCGGUCCCUAUCUGCCGUGGGCGCUGGAGAACUGAGGGGGGCUGCUCCUAGUACGAGAGGACCGGAGUGGACGCAUCACUGGUGUUCGGGUUGUCAUGCCAAUGGCACUGCCCGGUAGCUAAAUGCGGAAGAGAUAAGUGCUGAAAGCAUCUAAGCACGAAACUUGCCCCGA